rnacentral:rRNA from 2 species
UUAAGCGACUAAGCGUACACGGUGGAUGCCCUGGCAGUCAGAGGCGAUGAAGGACGUGCUAAUCUGCGAAAAGCGUCGGUAAGGUGAUAUGAACCGUUAUAACCGGCGAUGUCCGAAUGGGGAAACCCAGUGCAAUUCGUUGCACUAUCGUUAACUGAAUACAUAGGUUAACGAGGCGAACCGGGGGAACUGAAACAUCUAAGUACCCCGAGGAAAAGAAAUCAACCGAGAUUCCCCCAGUAGCGGCGAGCGAACGGGGAGCAGCCCAGAGUCUGAAUCAGCUUGUGUGUUAGUGGAACGGUCUGGAAAGUCCGACGGUACAGGGUGAUAGUCCCGUACACCAAAAUGCACAGGCUGUGAACUCGAAGAGUAGGGCGGGACACGUGGUAUCCUGUCUGAAUAUGGGGGGACCAUCCUCCAAGGCUAAAUACUCCUGACUGACCGAUAGUGAACCAGUACCGUGAGGGAAAGGCGAAAAGAACCCCGGCGAGGGGAGUGAAAAAGAACCUGAAACCGUGUACGUACAAGCAGUGGGAGCACCUUCGGGUGUGACUGCGUACCUUUUGUAUAAUGGGUCAGCGACUUAUAUUCUGUAGCAAGGUUAACCGUAUAGGGGAGCCGCAGGGAAACCGAGUCUUAACUGGGCGUUAAGUUGCAGGGUAUAGACCCGAAACCCGGUGAUCUAGCCAUGGGCAGGUUGAAGGUUGGGUAACACUAACUGGAGGACCGAACCGACUAAUGUUGAAAAAUUAGCGGAUGACUUGUGGCUGGGGGUGAAAGGCCAAUCAAACCGGGAGAUAGCUGGUUCUCCCCGAAAGCUAUUUAGGUAGCGCCUCGUGAACUCAUCUUCGGGGGUAGAGCACUGUUUCGGCUAGGGGGUCAUCCCGACUUACCAACCCGAUGCAAACUACGAAUACCGAAGAAUGUUAUCACGGGAGACACACGGCGGGUGCUAACGUCCGUCGUGAAGAGGGAAACAACCCAGACCGCCAGCUAAGGUCCCAAAGUCAUGGUUAAGUGGGAAACGAUGUGGGAAGGCACAGACAGCCAGGAUGUUGGCUUAGAAGCAGCCAUCAUUUAAAGAAAGCGUAAUAGCUCACUGGUCGAGUCGGCCUGCGCGGAAGAUGUAACGGGGCUAAACCAUGCACCGAAGCUGCGGCAGCGACACUAUGUGUUGUUGGGUAGGGGAGCGUUCUGUAAGCCUGCGAAGGUGACCUGUGAGGGUUGCUGGAGGUAUCAGAAGUGCGAAUGCUGACAUAAGUAACGAUAAAGCGGGUGAAAAGCCCGCUCGCCGGAAGACCAAGGGUUCCUGUCCAACGUUAAUCGGGGCAGGGUGAGUCGACCCCUAAGGCGAGGCCGAAAGGCGUAGUCGAUGGGAAACAGGUUAAUAUUCCUGUACUUGGUGUUACUGCGAAGGGGGGACGGAGAAGGCUAUGUUAGCCGGGCGACGGUUGUCCCGGUUUAAGCAUGUAGGCUGAUUGUCCAGGCAAAUCCGGAUAAUCAAGGCUGAGGUGUGAUGACGAGGCACUACGGUGCUGAAGUAACAAAUGCCCUGCUUCCAGGAAAAGCCUCUAAGCAUCAGGUAACAUUAAAUCGUACCCCAAACCGACACAGGUGGUCAGGUAGAGAAUACCAAGGCGCUUGAGAGAACUCGGGUGAAGGAACUAGGCAAAAUGGUGCCGUAACUUCGGGAGAAGGCACGCUGGUGUGUAGGUGAAGCCCCUGCGGGUGGAGCUGAGACCAGUCGAAGAUACCAGCUGGCUGCAACUGUUUAUUAAAAACACAGCACUGUGCAAACACGAAAGUGGACGUAUACGGUGUGACGCCUGCCCGGUGCCGGAAGGUUAAUUGAUGGGGUUAUCCGUAAGGAGAAGCUCUUGAUCGAAGCCCCGGUAAACGGCGGCCGUAACUAUAACGGUCCUAAGGUAGCGAAAUUCCUUGUCGGGUAAGUUCCGACCUGCACGAAUGGCGUAAUGAUGGCCAGGCUGUCUCCACCCGAGACUCAGUGAAAUUGAACUCGCUGUGAAGAUGCAGUGUACCCGCGGCAAGACGGAAAGACCCCGUGAACCUUUACUAUAGCUUGACACUGAACAUUGAGCCUUGAUGUGUAGGAUAGGUGGGAGGCUUUGAAGCGUGGACGCCAGUCUGCGUGGAGCCAACCUUGAAAUACCACCCUUUAAUGUUUGAUGUUCUAACGUUGGCCCCUGACCGGGGUUGCGGACAGUGUCUGGUGGGUAGUUUGACUGGGGCGGUCUCCUCCCAAAGCGUAACGGAGGAGCACGAAGGUUAGCUAAUCCUGGUCGGACAUCAGGAGGUUAGUGCAAUGGCAUAAGCUAGCUUGACUGCGAGCGUGACGGCGCGAGCAGGUGCGAAAGCAGGUCAUAGUGAUCCGGUGGUUCUGAAUGGAAGGGCCAUCGCUCAACGGAUAAAAGGUACUCCGGGGAUAACAGGCUGAUACCGCCCAAGAGUUCAUAUCGACGGCGGUGUUUGGCACCUCGAUGUCGGCUCAUCACAUCCUGGGGCUGAAGUAGGUCCCAAGGGUAUGGCUGUUCGCCAUUUAAAGUGGUACGCGAGCUGGGUUUAGAACGUCGUGAGACAGUUCGGUCCCUAUCUGCCGUGGGCGCUGGAGAAUUGAGGGGGGCUGCUCCUAGUACGAGAGGACCGGAGUGGACGCAUCACUGGUGUUCGGGUUGUCAUGCCAAUGGCACUGCCCGGUAGCUAAAUGCGGAAGAGAUAAGUGCUGAAAGCAUCUAAGCACGAAACUUGCCCCGAGAUGAGUUCUCCCUGAGACUUUAAGUCUCCUGAAGGAACGUUGAAGACGACGACGUUGAUAGGCCGGGUGUGUAAGCGCAGCGAUGCGUUGAGCUAACCGGUACUAAUGAACCGUGAGGCUUAACCUU